GGACUCAGCCCGCCUGCACCCAGGUGAAAUAAACAGCCAUGUUGCUCACACAAAGCCUGUUUGGUGGUCUCUUCACACAGAUGUGCAUGAAAUUUGGUGCGGUGACUCGGAUCGGGGGACCUGCCUUAGGAAAUCAAUCCCCUGUCCUCCUGCUCUUUGCUCCGUGAGAAAGAUCCACCUACGACCUCAGGUCCUCAGACCGACUAGCCCAAGAAACAUCUCACCAAUUUCAAAUCUGACCUUUGCAAGAGGGUCCAAGACAUUUGCAUCAUCAUUCAGUGAGACCUGUAAACACAGCAUCUGCCUUUGACCACAUCCAUCUGGAAGAACCUGAGAGAUAAUCCAUUUUAUGAAAUUUUCCCUACCCUGAAAUGGGAGAAUGAAUCUAAUUUGAAGCACUGAGAAGGAUAAGGCAUCCAUUUGAAAAGGACUCCUAUAUUGCAACAUGAAUUCUGCUAAAAUUGAAGCAAGAACAAACAUCAAAUUUAUGAUGAAGUUUGGGUAGAAGAAUGAUGAAAUUAGUGAUGCUUUAUAAAAAGUUUAUUGGGACAAUACCCCAAAUGAAUCAGCAGUUUAAAAAUGGAUAACUUAUUUUAAGAAGAAACAAGAUGAUGUUGAAGAUGAAGCCUGCAACGGCAGACCAUCUACAUCAAUUUGGAAGGAAAAAAGUAAUCUUGUUCAUGCCCUAACGGAGGAAGACUGACAAUUAACAGCACUGACAAUAGCCAACA